ensembl:rRNA 5S_rRNA 5S ribosomal RNA
AUCUAUGGUCAUGGCACCCUGAAUGCACCCAAUCUUGUCUGAUCCAGGAAGCUAAGCGAGGUAGGGCCUGGUUAGCACUUGUUAAGGGAGACUACCUGAAAAUACUAGGUACUGUAGGAU